rnacentral:rRNA from 1 species
UACGUAGGGUGCGAGCGUUGUCCGGAAUUACUGGGCGUAAAGAGCUCGUAGGUGGUUUGUCGCGUUGUCCGUGAAAACUCACAGCUUAACUGUGGGCGUACGGGCGAUACGGGCAGACUGGAGUACUGCAGGGGAGACUGGAAUUCCUGGUGUAGCGGUGGAAUGCGCAGAUAUCAGGAGGAACACCGGUGGCGAAGGCGGGUCUCUGGGCAGUAACUGACGCUGAGGAGCGAAAGCGUGGGGAGCGAACAGG